rnacentral:rRNA from 1 species
GACGAACGCUGGCGGCGUGCUUAACACAUGCAAGUCGAACGAUGAAACCUAGCUUGCUAGGUCGAUUAGUGGCGAACGGGUGAGUAACACGUGACUAACCUGCCCCUUUCUCUGGGAUAACGCUCCGAAAGGAGUGCUAAUACCGGAUACUCACACCGAGGCACAUGCCUUGGUGUGGAAAGUUUUUCGGAAAGGGACGGAGUCGCGGCCUAUCAGCUUGUUGGUGAGGUAACGGCUCACCAAGGCGACGACGGGUAGCCGGCCUGAGAGGGCGACCGGCCACACUGGGACUGAGACACGGCCCAGACUCCUACGGGAGGCAGCAGUGGGGAAUAUUGCACAAUGGGCGCAAGCCUGAUGCAGCGACGCCGCGUGAGGGAUGAAGGUCUUCGGAUUGUAAACCUCUUUCAGUAGGGACGAAGCGAAAGUGACGGUACCUAAAGAAGAAGCACCGGCUAACUACGUGCCAGCCGCCGCUGUAA